rnacentral:lncRNA from 1 species
AAAUGGACUCAGACUUCUCACAUGCCUUCCAGAAGGAACUCGCCUGUGUCAUCUGUUUGAACUACCUGGUAGACCCUGUCACCAUCUGCUGUGGGCACAGCUUCUGCAGAGGAGAAACUCUUAAAGCAAAUGAGGAUUUUAUGGAAAAAGAUUCAAGAAAAUCAGAGAAAUCUAUAUGAGGAGAGAAGAACAGCCUUCCUCUGGAGGGUGAGACAGGGCGAUGUGGUUUUACGGGCACAGAUGAUCAGGAAUGAGUAUAGGAAGCUGCAUCCGGUUCUCCAUAAGGAAGAAAAACAACAUUUAGAGAGACUGAACAAGGAAUACCAAGAGAUUUUUCAGCAACUCCAGAGAAGCUGGGUCAAAAUGGAUCAAAAGAGUAAACACUUAAAAGAAAUGUAUCAGGAACUAAUGGAAAUGUGUCAUAAACCAGAUGUGGAGCUGCUCUUGCAGGAGUGAGCCCGUGCUGCUGCACAUGCCCCAGCCUGUGAAUCCAGAGCUCACAGCAGGGCCCAUCACUGGACUGGUGUACAGGCUCAACCGCUUCCGAGGUAGUGGAAAUUUCCUUCCAUUGUGAAGUAACCAAUCACAAUAUCAGGCUCUUUGAGGAUGUGAGAAGUUGGAUGUUUAGACGUGGACCUUUGAAUUCUGACAGAUCUGACUAUUUUGCUGCAUGGGGAGCCAGGGUCUUCUCCUUUGGGAAACACUACUGGGAGCUGGAUGUGGACAACUCUUGUGACUGGGCUCUGGGAGUCUGUAACGACUCCUGGAUAAGGAAGAAUAGCACAAUGGUUAACUCUGAGGACAUAUUUCUUCUUUUGUGUCUGAAGGUGGAUAAUCAUUUCAGUCUCUUGACCACCUCCCCAGAGUUUCCUCACUAUAUAGAGAAACCUCUGGGCCGGGUUGGUGUGUUUCUUGAUUUUGAAAGUGGAAGUGUGAGUUUUUUGAAUGUCACCAAGAGUUCCCUCAUAUGGAGUUACCCAGCUGGCUCCUUAACUUUUCCUGUCAGGCCUUUCUUUUACACUGGCCAC